rnacentral:lncRNA from 1 species
CCCCGCUAGAAACCAGCCUCCCUGCCAAGCCUGCUCCCACCACCUGUGCUUCCCUCACCACGGAAAUGGAGUUGGGGGAGGGAUGGCCGAGGAGCUGGGCUGGCACAAAUGGGGCUUUUAAGGCAAGUGUUUCACCUGUUGCUCUCGGCACAGCUUCUACCCCCCUUUCACAGUGGGGGCCCUGGGGGGGCAGGGACUUAUCAUAGUAACCAGGUGUUGGCCUCAGUCACUCCUUGGCUCCUAAGUUUGGGCUCAGGCCUAUGUUGGAUGCAUUGUUGAGGGAAAUGGAGGAGGAGAUCCGUCCUCAGGGAGCCCCAGAGGAGUGCAUAAACCAUGUUGAUAUAAAGUGCUUCAGACCAGGGUCACCACUGCUGUGGAGCUCCAGAAGAGGGAGAGCUCAACUCUGGUGGCUGCCUGGAGGAGGAGGCUUUGAAGGCAGGAUUUCAGCAGGCAUUGGACCCUGGCUGAUAUACCUGCUGUGUGAGCCCCUCUCCAUGGCCCAAUCUCUCGCCCCGCCUGAUGUCCUGGUAUUACUGCUGUCAUCGUCACCACCAGCCCCUUCACACCCCCAACUUUUAGUGAGCACUUACUGUGUGCCAGGUCUCAUGCCAAGAGUUGACCUGCGCCAUGUCAUUUCAUCCUCACAUUUACGCUCCCGGAGUUAUUGCUGUGAGUCUUUUCUUUUUUCUUUUUGAGACAGGGUCUCAUUCUGUCUCCCAGGCUGGAGUGCAGUGGCAUAAUCUCAGCUAACUGCAACCUCCGCCUCCUGGGUUCAAGUGAUUCUCCUGCCUCAGCCUCCCCAAUAGCUGGGAUUAUAGGCAUGCCACCACGCCCGGCUAAUUUUUUGUAUUUUCAGUAGAGACAAGGUUUCCCAUGUUGAUCAGGCUGGUCUCGAACUCCUGACCUCAAGUGAUCCACCCGCCUCAGCCUCCCAAAUUGCUGGGAUUACAGGCGUGAACCACCGCACCUGGCCAGAGUCCAUUUUUAAGGUGAGGACACAAAUGCUCUGAGGGAAUGGACUUGCCCAAGGUCACACGGCUUUGAGGCGGCACAGCUGGGAUUUGACUCCAGGCCUGCUGGCUCCAAAGUCCGAGAUCAUUACCACCAAACCACGCUGCCUUUUCCUUUCACUCUGGGAAAGGAGUCGCAGCUCUCCUUUCCUCUCUCCAGAAACUGGGGCAGCAUGAAAAAUUCAAGACCAGAGAUGAAAACACCUGGCCUUUUGAAUGAGGCCAGACCAAUGGCUCUGCGGCAGUGCAGCCUGCAGACACUGGUGUCAAAGGAGAUUGAGGUGGUGUGCCCCAGAGGCUCAGCUGGGCAUGGCUGGCCGGCCCCCAUAAGCAAGGGCAGAGCCAGGGGGCCUGGAGGACAUCACUUCUAUCCAGCACAGAGGGGCUGCAGGGCUGUUUGAUUAUGAGGGCUGGUGGGGUCAUAACACCCCAGACUGUGACUCUAUCACUAAUGUAGCUCGCUCCCAUUUCCAGCUAAGCCUGUUAGAUGCAGGCUGCUGUCUUUAGGGUCUGCUUGCUGAGUGGGCCAGGGUGGGAUCCUGGAGGCUCUGGGGGCCUGCCCUUCUGACCUUUCCCUGGUUGCUUGCCGUGCAGAGGUGACUUCUAUCAGCUCAGUAAACGGCUACUGGGCUAAACCCUUGUGUAUCUGUGUUUUGUCUCAGAGCAGACUUUGUGAUAGUCCUGACCCUCUCUUGCUGCACCUAGUUCUUGUGGGCUCUGGUCACCACCAAAUAGGCAAAAAGAUUUGGCAGCAAAGAAAAAAAGCAUGAUGACUUGGAAUCUGUCAGGCCUGGCUCUAACCCUGGUUCUGCCAGGCACCGGAGUGAGGGUUUGGGCAAACCCCCUGAUCCCUCAGAGCCUCCCAUUCCUCAUCUGCAGAGCAGGUCUACCAGCAGGCUCUGUGCAGGGUGGUGGCGAGGAUUAGAUAAGAGAAUGGAUGCCUUCACAUGGUAGGCAGCCCCACAGUGAGCUUUCCCUCACACUUACACCAAUGUAUGCCAAGAUGGAGCACCUCUGGCCCAAGCUUUGGCAACAGGAGACUUGGGGGUGACGAGUAGAGUGUGAUGUUCUCGUUGUUGGACAACGCGGCUUCCAUUUGCUUAGCAGGCACGUUUAUGGAUUGCCAUGUUGAAGGAUUCCUCUUGGCAUUUGGCAACCACAGCUCUCAUUUGGGGCGGCCCAGCUCCCUCCAUCAUGUCAUAAAUCACUUUGCUAAAGAUGCAACGUUGCUUUUGGGCAUUUUUCUUUUGAAAAAUCAAUAACUCGUGUAACAAGGGACUGAAUAAAGGAGUGAGCAAUGAAGCUGCCUGCCAUUUCCUUCCAUCAGGAGGGGCAGAAGCAGUGCUCUGCCAAGGUUGGGUGGGGGGUCUACUCAGAGGGCAGAGAGGCCUUGGGGUGGGGACAAUAGGCUCAACCUGUUUCCAGCAAACCUGUGUCCCCUCACCCCAACUCUUCCAACCUCCAAAUCUGACCAAGGCCCUCCUCUGCUUCAAAAAA